rnacentral:lncRNA from 1 species
CACAUUUCAUAAAUCCCAUAAUAAAUACUAUCCACCACUCAUUUCUAUUUAUUCAUAAUACAAACCAUUUGUAAACACUUCUCAAUACAAUAACUAACAGAUCACAAUACAUAAUACUAAAUAGGACUAAACGGCAACAAAAGAUGUGACGGUCUUAAAGUUACGAUUUUGUUGACUCUAAAUAAAAACUACAUAUAACCUGUUUAUACAUAUAUAUUUUAAGAGAGGUGUCCCAAUACUUCAUGAUUUCUUCUUCAUAUCAAUGCAAGAAAAAUGCCAAGCUUUUUAUUUGAGACCUGAAAAUUCAUUGAAAGAGCUUUAGUAUUGUAUUGGUACACGUUAUCGGGCACGAGUAGACAAUAAAAUAAAUGAUAUUAUCCUAACUUCUAUUUGUAAGUCCGAUACCAUUCAAUCCACCUUAAAAAAAAAAAAUAAAAAAAAAAAAUCCAACGGCGUGGUAAAUUGACUAAGAUGAAAGAAAUUGCUUGUAAGGAAAAGAAGCAAAAUUAAAAAAAUAUAAGCAGAACAUGCAUACCCGAGUGCUAGGGCACCGGACCAUUGAAGUAAGAAACCAAGAAUAGCCGAACCACCAAUAAUUGAAGAGUUAUAGAUGUUCCAAUUAAAAGACAGGACACCAGGAGGAUCAAGUGAUGGCAUCAACAUCACAAGGAAGAAUAAAGUAAUAGGUGUGGUCUUCCACAUUAACCUGUCAAUUUGGCAAAGACACAUGAAAUUCUAACUCUACAGUUAGUUUGGUCAAUAGCAGAAUGAACCAAACAGAAAAUCCUUUAGAUGCAUGUGACUUACGCUAGGGCGGUCCAGUUUUCUUCUUGUUGUAGAUUGGACCAAAGUAUUUUAUUAACUGCACUCGGUAUUAUCCAUGCUACUGCUAUGCAAGCACCGAAAAAAUGAAAUUGAAGAUCGGUCACCGUAGCAACAGCAACACCAAUUGAUACCACGGUAAGUGCAAGCACCUGAAAGUGCCAUUGUAAGAAUCAAAUGCGUAGAAAGAGAAAUAUGGAGCAAAAUAUAACACCACACGUGCUACAGGCAUUUGUAUCCGGAGACUCGUAAUGGUAACCUAUUGCAUGACUAUAGAGAUGAACAAUGCCAGCAUUAUAUAAUCAAGUAAAAAAACCCUCAUAAAUUUAAGAAUUGAAGUGCCCUUAAGUCAGUAGCAUACAAUAUACUGACCANNNNNNNNNNNNNNNNNNNNNNNNNNNNNNNNNNNNNNNNNNNNNNNNNNNNNNNNNNNNNNNNNNNNNNNNNNNNNNNNNNNNNNNNNNNNNNNNNNNNNNNNNNNNNNNNNNNNNNNNNNNNNNNNNNNNNNNNNNNNNNNNNNNNNNNNNNNNNNNNNNNNNNNNNNNNNNNNNNNNNNNNNNNNNNNNNNNNNNNNNNNNNNNNCCCCAAGUCAACUAGCAGGGCUUCUUCAUUUAACCCAAAAUAUUAAGCAUUAAAUCAUAUACAGUAUAAAUGCAGCAGCAGAACUAUAUAAAUCUGUCAGCCAUCGACUGACCAAAUGAGAAAGAUAAGAAAAUUAUUUAUUAAUAACUGUGACUUUUAGACUUCAUAUAGGUAAGCAACGAACAUUGAUUACACAACUGAGUUGAAAAUUAUUUACAAUGUAAUGCUUCAAAUGUAUACCUUGUUCAUGGCAGACAUUGCUAUUGUUGCACCUUUCAUUCCAGUAGAAAUUGAAGUGUUGGCAUAUAAGGCCUAUUAAAGUAGCAAACUGCGUUUAAAAGGUGGAAAAGAAGCACCAGAUACAUUUGUUCAAAAGCCACGUGUCAAUAUAGAGUGACCUGUGUAUGAGUUGUCAUGCCUCUGAUCUGGGCACGACUUCCUUGCAAAUUUGUUAUUUGCUGUCGCAGACGAACUAGUUGACGUGCUAAAAUUUUGGUGGCAGCCUAGUUGACAUAAAAAUUAGUUGUUGCUAACUGAAAAUUAAAUGUUUAAGGCCAGCUUUUGAAAAAACACAAAAAGACAUCCUAUAGGACACAUAAUAACAUGAAACCAGAACAGUCAAGCCUUUUACAAAACGGUGAACUUGACAUUGUUUCUAGAUUUUUAUAAUACAACUUGUCCCCGUAACAUAUUUUUUUCUAGAUUUUUAUAAUACUAGUUCCUUGUAACAUGUACAGGGCAAUAGUGCAUUAAUAUAUGCUAAAUGAACUAAAAAUAAAUUCACCCAAGACUUACCUCAUUUCCAGUUUUAGCUGUUUUCUUGAUCUCUGCUACUAAUUUCUUCUCCUAAAAUAUGAAAAACAGAAGCAAUUUCUCAUAAAAUUAUAUAAACACACCAAUUAACUUUUUAGAUAUCAGUGCCAUUUAUAUGAAUAUCUACUAAAUCACAAACAGCAUACCUCCAUUUGUAAAGAUGCAAUCUCACGUUCAAUGCCUACAGUGUUACAGAAUCAUUGUGUGAAUAAAAACAAAAGAAGGUGGAUAUGAAGGGACAAAGUAAGUGUAUGUAUUGAAGCUUAUAUUCCUCUUCACUCUGAGGGUGCAAAUCUAUUUUGGGAAAAGGAAAGGGAUAAUAGCUCUGAUCAAUUGAUUCAUUAUCUGUUUAGUCCUGGAUCAGAGAACAAUCUUGUCGUAGAAAGCCUAUGUUACUUGAGUUGAAAAGUGACGGGCAGUGAUUGAUAAAAACAACUUCAAAAUGCCACUGCCUACUGCAUGAAUGUGAUUAUGUCCAUCCCUAUGCAAUUAUCAACUGCCUUAAGUACUUUUUCAUAUAAGAUGAACCUCAUUUCACAUUACUAAGUUUCUUUCUUGAACAAAAUUUCUGGUAAGCAAAAGUUAUUAAGUUUGUUGACCAUGCCUAAGGAACCCCCAAAACAACUUUUUCCAAAUGUUCUAGCAAAAUUGAUACGUGCCCAAGAUGCAUAGAAUGAAGGAGAAUCAUGUGGAUGCAUUCAUGGGAUUGAGGAAGACGUGGUCAAAACUUGUCAAAGAGACUUGGUCAAGUCUGUUAUCCAUGGAGGAGAUUGUUUAUUUGUUAACUAUCAUUUUGCGGUUGUGUUUAGAUCAUUUCUAGUUUGUUGAUAGUAUGAUUGAUGGUCUUCAUUUUCGGAAGAUGAGAUCGAGUAUCUAGGAAGGGUUGUUAGUUUCAUGUUUAUUUAAAUUCUGCCAACUAGUCACUGAGAAGGAGGUAAAAAAUUAAUCCAGAUUAUUGUGUUCCAUUCUCACCCAAAGAGUAUAUUAUCUAUAUAGCUAUUGCAAUCCUCCUUUGACUGGGACCUAUUACUGGUAUCAGAGUGAGGUAUUAAUGACCACCAACAAAGAACAUAUUGAGAGUUUGGAAGCUGGGUUCGGAAGUCUCCACGAUGGCAUGCACCGAAUAGAGCUGGGAAUGGCUAACAAACUAAGUCAGCUAGAAAUUACACUCAACUGAAUGCCUGAAGCUUUGUUUUCUAACAAAGAUGGGACCAGCCACAGCAACAAUGAGAGAGAAGGAGAUUCACGCCCCAACAAGGAAGAUACUGAAGUCAAUCGACCGAUUGUUUCAUCCAAAACAGCUAAGCUGGAGGUUCCAAAACACUCAGGUGAAGACAUGACAGAAUUCUUUGCUCCAGUGGAACUUUCAAAGCACAGUGGAGACACAAAAAGUCUCGUUAGCCUCAUUUCACUUGGGAGGUAAAGCAAACCAAUGGUGACAACUGUUGCACCGUACAUUCAAGGAGGGAAGAAGGAAGGUGACGUGGACAAUCUUUGAGGAAGAACUAUGGGCUCAAUUCAGACCCACUAAUGGAGAAGAUUUUGAUGAAGCUUGCUCACAAAUUUCAGCAUGUGGUUCCCUGCGAGAAUACAACAGGAAUUUGAGAAGCUAGGCAACCCUGUACAGGGGUGGACUCAAACCGUAGAUAGCUAAAGGCAUUCGAAUGUUCAAACAACGAACGUUGAAGGAAGCUAUUAGCCUUGCUCGGAUACGAGAUGAGCAAUUGGUCCGCAAAUAGAGUCACAUGGCCGCUUCCAGUCAAUGAGACACAGAUGACCCUUCCUACUCCAAAACGACCCACACCAGCAUCCCUGUGAAGAGGCUCACGUGGGAUGAAAUGCAAAAAUGGAGAGCACAGUAUCUUUGUUUCAAUUGCAAUGACAGGUUUACUGCUGGUCACAAGCGCCAAGAAUCACAACUUUUACUGCUUGAGGGGUGCACAAACAUGGGCAAAAUUAUAUGUGAAGAGAUCAUAGAGGACAACCCGUGUGAAGACAAAUCAAGUGCAAGUGAGCAACAUCCAGGAAGACCUCCAAAAGUAGUAUCCAGGUCUGGAACUUGGGGAGAAGUGUCCACUUGAGGGGGAGGAAUUGAUAUGUGCCCAAGAUGAAUAGGAUCAUGGGGUGAAGGAGAAUCGUGUGCAAGCAUGGGAUUGAGGAAGCCGUGGUUAAAGCUUGUCAAAGAGACUAGGUCAAGUCUGUUAUCCAAGCAGUAGAUUGUUUAGUAUUUGUUUUCUAUUAUUUUGCAAUUGUGUUUUGUUCGUUUCUAGUUUGUUAAUAGUAUUAUUGUUGUCUUUAUUUUCGGAAGAUGAGAUCGAGAAUCUAGGAAAGAUUGUUCGUUUCAUGUUUAUUUAAAUUCUGGCAACUAGUAUUUGAGGAGGAGAAAAUAUUUAUCCCUGAAAGAGAAUAUCAAUCUAGCUAUUGCAAUCAUCCUUUGACUGGGAACUGUCAUAUCAAAAAACUUGAUAUGAUUGGCGUGGUUUGCAGGCUGCCUCAGCCCGAGGGUUUACCCAAUGCGCAGCCGCUGCGGUUCCCCCCGUUAAAAAAAAAAAAAAAAAAAAAAAAAAAAAAAAAAAAAAAAAAAAAAAAGAGGGUCUUGAACUAAAGUUCUGGUAAGGGAAAAGAGAUACUAAGUGACCAUAUCAAUGAAAUCCCUAAAAACCUUUUUUCAAAUGUUCUUUUGUAAUCAUCUUAAAAACCCUUUAAACCAUUAUUAUCGUAACCAAGUGCUAUCUGAAGAAAAUUACACGUGCACAAACACAAGGGUCCGAGCAAAUCAUUGUAUAAAUGUAGAAAAAGCUAGAAUUACCUCUUGUGGCGACAGCCAUUUCCCGUUUGCUGGUCCGCAGUGCAUCUGUUAAAUCAGAUUGUCAUUAAUCCAAUCCGAUAAAUCUAAUACAUUUACCCGACCCCGAGGCCCACUCCCCUCAACCGCAGCACACACAGAGAGACAGAAAAAGAAGUUUUUUAUGGAGAAAAAAACUUCGCAAAGGUAAGAAGAAAAGUUAAUUUACUCUCCUUAAAUCCGCCAAAAAGUAUGGUGACAUUACAAGGAAAAAGAAAUUGAAAGUUCCCCAAAAUCGAAUCAAGUACAGCAAACCAUAAAAUCUACGAUUUUCAUAAAACACUCUUCUUGCUCUUCAACUAAAAUCAAGUGAAACUGAUAAGAGAGACAGAGAGAGAGAGAAGGGCUUACCCUUGGGUGAAGUUUUCUUCUUGAAAAUGUUGAGAUUCAUAAUUCUGCAAAACAGGGAACUGGUGAAUUUUUGGUAGAUUCGGUGAGUGGGUUUAUGUAUGGUAUUGAAGAAUUCUUCGUAAUUUUGGGAGAGAUUUUCGGGCUUCACUCUACAACGGGAAAGAGAGUGGGUGGGUCCGGCUACUACUGUCCUCGAGAAUCGUGUUUGAAAUCCCACGUAUGAAAGGGCAGAGCACAUUAGCCGUUGGAAACAUUCAUUCACUAAAAUGCCUACAAUAUUUGUCUUUAAUUACGAUGCCACAUACUAUUGAGAAUUUUGGAAUAAGCUAAUUCUCUCUCACUCUUUUUUAUUUAUUUUUAUUAUUAUUUUUUUUUAAUGAUCGUCGGUGUCCGAACCAACUUAUACGCACCUCGACUAAUCUCACGAAACCCUAAAGUUUACAAUCAGGUACUCACCUCAAUGAUUUUGAGGGGAUUUAAAUUGGUGAUCAUUGCGGAGCAAAUCCAAUACCUGAUCAUUGAGCUACCCGUUUGAACUAAUUUUAUUUUACUAGUGGUAAUUUAAGUUUAGGAGUGGUAAUAGAUUGAGUUGAGCCAAUUUGAUGCAUGUUUGAUUCUGAUUUUUUACCCCAAAAAAAUCAAUUUCUUUACUAUUACUUUCAUAAAUCAAUCGUCAUUUUUUACUUCUUCUCUUACAUAUACGAUCCACUUUUCUCUCUAAUAGUAAAAAAAAUUAAUUCCCAUAAUUAUUACCGAUCAAACGCUUGAUUGUCAGACAAUCGUGUCUAUAAAGUAUAAAUUAAGCUUGAUUCGGCCUUUCGGCUCAUUGAUCUUAUGGGUUGAGCCCAAUUGUCCAUAAGUCAUUUUAAAAAAAAUUACUAUAACAAUGUAAAAAAAGAGCCAACCCUUGAGCUCGUCCGUGAAAAAUAAUAUUGAGCUCAACUCGAUGAAUCGCUCGUUUUAGUACGAGCCGGAGCUCUAAUUGAGCAUAAUUUGAACAGGAAUGAGUUGAUGAGCGAUUCAACCCAUUUGUCACUGCUGCUAAAACUCAAACGAAAAAUUUAAUUUAUUUUGUGAUCUAUAAUAUUACAGUCACAGACUACUAGCUUCAUUAAAAUCUUCAUGUGGAUUCAUGUCCAUUAAAGCGAUUGAUUCCUUUAAGUGUGUGGUGAUCUUUUUAUGUUAAUAUUAUUUUCAAAAUCUAUAAUUUUACGAGAUGGACCUAAUUAUCGUUAGUUGAUGUCACGAUUUAAUACGUUAUUGAAUCUAGAGUCGAUGCAACUGUAAGAAUGACCAAUUAUGUAAUUUUAGUAUCUAUACGGGUCAUAAAGAUGCUAUGAUGAUCACUUUGAAGUGUCACCUGAACUUCCACCACCAUAUCCGAAAUUAGAUUGGAGAAAAAUGAUCAACUCAUGAAAACCCAAUAACAAGUCCCCCAUUGACCAACUCAAUUUCUGGCCCCAGAAACUUGUGGGAUGAAGAAGAGAAAUCUUAUUGUAAUUCUUGGUAGCUUGAGGCAUUGCUUGUAAGAUUUUGAGCGUGGCACAAGGUGUUUGAUAAAUUGCCUGAAUGGGUUUUUCAAAAGUUCAGGACUGUUUCUACUUUUUAUUUUAUUUUAUUUAUUUAUUUAUUAUUUAUUAUUUUUUAGUAUUCUUACAGUAACUUUAAAUUUUCUGCAUGCAAAUGAUUGGAUACUGAAGAAGCAUUGGGUCUUGACUGUUUGUGAAUUACUGGUGCCGUAGAAUUGAGGGCUGCAAAAGUGAAAAUCAGGCGCUUUCUAUCAUAGGCCGGUCCCUCAAGGAAUCUUAAAGCACAAAUCAAGACAAAGCAAAUACGGGACGCCGAGAGUGACAAACAGGAAAAAGGCUAGAAAAUUAGUCAUAUGUGGGGGCUUGAAAAGUAACAUCUUGUAAUUUUUUUAGUGGGAACUUAAGAAAUGUAAAGAUAAAACAGGCAUCAUGUCUGAAACUCAAUCAUACAGUCAGGCCAAUGAAGAAGAGAAGAAUGAACCAUUUUCUUUUAUCAAUCUUUGUCUGUUUUAUAGUUUCCUUUGACUUUGGUCAGACAUCUGUUGCUGAAAUCGAAGCUCAGCGGCCAAUUGGUUAUGGCUACACUAUCAAAUCAGUUGGCAAGGAUUCAAGUGGAAGGUCAUUGACUGCAGCUCUUCAACUCAUCGAAAAUUCCUCAGUUUUUGGCCCUGAUGUUCAGAAUCUCAACCUCAUAGCCAGGUAGGGUUAAAUUUAUUUGCUGGUGAUAAAUCUUGCUGGAUUUGUAGUCCUAAUACUUGUUUGAUUAUGUGGAGUCUAAUUCAGUCUACGGGGCUGGUUUUGGGGGUUCAAGUGGACGUAUCUGUCACAACUUAUUGUUUGUUUUCUUACUAUACACAGAAAUAAAAUUGAAAACACUCAUGAAAUUCUAUCUGUAGUAUUAAGUUUCCUUCAGUUGAUUUAACUUUUUAAUUCUUACGUUUAUGUUUAUUUUAUGCAAUUAUGCAGCUUUGAAACAGAUGAUUGCCUAAGAAUUAGAAUAACAGACUCUACCCAUCAACGAUGGGAAGUGCCAAAUGACAUUGUUACGCGUCAAAUGCCAUCUCAUACUUACCAAAAGUCUACGGGGCUGGUUUUGGGGGUUCAAGUGGACGUAUCUGUCACAACUUAUUGUUUGUUUUCUUACUAUACACAGAAAUAAAAUUGAAAACACUCAUGAAAUUCUAUAUGUAGUAUUAAGUUUCCUUCAGUUGAUUUAACUUUUUAAUUCUUACGUUUAUGUUUAUUUUAUGCAAUUAUGCAGCUUUGAAACAGAUGAUUGCCUAAGAAUUAGAAUAACAGACUCUACCCAUCAACGAUGGGAAGUGCCAAAUGACAUUGUUACGCGUCAAAUGCCAUCUCAUACUUACCAAGUUUUGACCGAUUACCCCUCCUUUCUCUCCAAUGUCAACUCAGAUCUAGUGUUUGCCCUUCACUAUACUACUCCAUUUGGCUUCAGUGUCAGCCGUCCCUCUACUGGUGACAUCCUUUUCGACACCUCACCAGUAUCAGGCCGACCUGACACAUUCCUCGUUUUCAAAGAUCAGUACAUCCAAGUGUCAUCUUCACUUCCAUUGAACAGGUCCAACAUUUAUGGUCUUGGUGAGCACGCUAAGAGCUCGUUCAAGUUGAAACAUAAACAGACACUGACUCUCUGGAAUGCUGACAUUGGAAGUUCCAAUCCUGAUCUCAACUUAUAUGGAUCCCACCCUUUCUACAUGGACGUACGGACCCCCAUGGGAACCGCUCACGGGGUAUUGUUGCUCAAUAGUAAUGGCAUGGACAUAGUGUACACUGGUGAUAUGAUCACUUACAAGGUUAUUGGUGGUGUUCUGGAUUUUUAUUUCUUUGCUGGACCAUCUGCCAAAAUGGUAAUGGAUCAAUACACACAGCUCAUUGGCCGUCCUGCUGCUAUGCCUUACUGGUCCUUCGGUGAGUGUUGAACUUUUGAUUGCUAUUUUGGCUGAAUAGAAAAUCAGAGACAAAAUAAAAUAACAAGUUUGUACUAAUAUUUUUCUUUUAAUGCGUAUAGGGUUUCAUCAAUGCCGUUGGGGUUAUAAAAAUGUUAAUGAUAUCCAGGAAGUCGUUGAUCAGUAUGCGAAAGCUGGAAUUCCUCUUGAAGUUAUUUGGACUGAUAUCGACUAUAUGGAUGGUUUCAAGGACUUCACACUCGAUCCUGUUAACUUCCCUUUGGACACAAUGAAGAGUUUUGUUAACAAACUUCACAAAAAUAAUCAGAAAUAUGUUCUCAUCCUGGAUCCUGGUAACUCUUUGUAACUCUUGUUUUUUUAAAAUUUUAAUUAUCAACAUUUUGUUAAUUAUACAUGUCAACCACAGGUAUCUGUGUGAACGAGACAUAUGAAACAUACAUUAGAGGAACGCAGGCAGACGUUUUCAUAAAACGGGAUAAUAUUCCUUAUAUGGGGGUUGUUUGGCCCGGAAAAGUCUACUACCCAGAUUUUCUAAAUCCUGCUGGGGGAGUUUUUUGGUGUACUGAAAUCAGUAAUUUUUACAAUCUUCUCCCAUUUGAUGGCCUCUGGCUUGACAUGAAUGAGAUAUCAAAUUUCAUAUCUUCAUCUCCUAGUGCACUCUCUACGCUUGAUGAUCCUCCGUAUAAAAUUAACAACUCGGGAGCUCAAAACCCCAUUAAUUCUAGAACUGUUCCUGCUUCUUCCCUGCAUUUUGGUAACAUUACAGAGUAUGAUGCUCAUAACCUUUAUGGACUUUUGGAAUCCAAAGCCACGAAUCAGGCCUUAGUCACAGCGACUGGUAAAAGGCCGUUCAUUCUUGCUCGAUCAACGUUUAUUGGCUCUGGGAAAUACACGGCCCAUUGGACUGGAGAUAAUGCAGCUACAUGGGAGGAUUUGGCAUACUCAAUUCCUAGCAUCUUAAAUUUUGGACUGUUUGGUAUUCCUAUGGUUGGAGCAGAUAUUUGUGGUUUCUCUCGAAACACUACUGAAGAGCUCUGUCAGCGUUGGAUUCAGGUACGGUCCUGAAACUCAAUUAUAAUUCGAAGUUUAAUUCUUGAGAGAGAGAGAGAGAAAAUGUCUCAAACAAUUUCAUAGUAAUCUCCUUAUAUUAAUGCAGCUAGGAGCCUUUUAUCCCUUCUCAAGAGACCACUCUGCAAAUGAUACUUCCCGUCAAGAGCUCUAUCUUUGGGACUAUGUUGCCAAGGCAGCCAAGAAAGCGCUUGGUCUUCGUUACCAAUUACUCCCGUACUUUUACAUGCUAAUGUACGAGGCGCACAUGAGAGGAACACCCAUAGCACGACCCAUUUUCUUCUCAUUCCCUGAAGACAUAAAUACUUAUGAAAUCGACUCCCAGUUUCUUCUCGGGAAAGGGGUAAUGGUCUCACCUGUAUUGAAGCAAGGAGUAGUCUCAGUUGACGCUUAUUUUCCAGCGGGAAAUUGGUUUGACCUCUUCAACUAUUCGAAUUCCUUGAGUUUGAAUCAAGGAAAACAUAUAACACUGGAUUCACCAUCCGAUCAUAUAAAUGUACAUAUACGGGAAGGGAACAUAAUAGCGAUGCAAGGAGAAGCCUUAACAACACAAGCAGCUAGGAAAACACCAUUCAAGCUAUUGGUGGUUCUCAGCAGCAAUGAGAACAGCACGGGAGAGGUGUUCUUGGAUGAUGGAGAGGAAGUCGAAAUGGGAAGAGAAGGAGGGCGAUGGACAUUAAUACAUUACAAUGCCAGAAUCUCUGGAAGUACGGUAACAGUUGAAUCAAAUGUAAGUAACAAAGAAUAUGCUUUGAGCCAGAAAUGGAUUGUAGAAAAGGUAACAUUUUUAGGUUGAAAAAUUUCACGAAGUUGAUGAGUCAUGAACUCAUGAUCAACACAGGAGCAAAGUGGAUGAUCAAGAAAAUUGAGGUAAGAACUAGUUUAAAAGUCAGUGGACGGUUUGCUAUAGUGCAGAUAUCAGGAAUGUCAAUACUUAUGGGAAAUGAGUUCAAAUUAAAGCUCAAUCUAAUUGUGUAAAAAAAGUGUUGGAAGAAAACGGGCCGCUGAUGUGGGCCAACCCAACUCGAAUUGCAUGAAAACAAGUGGAGGGAGGAGUUAAGUUUUUGAAUUUGAAAAUUAACCUCCCCACCACCAAUAACUCCAAUGCAACUCUCAUUACUUCAUGAUUAUGAAAAGUGCCAUGUGUUUUCUACAACGUGAUUUAUACUGCAAGUUUACGGUGUCUAAUUUUGUAAUAUAGUAAUAGAGUUAGAAUGUUGAAACCACAUGGAUUGCAAUUUAAUUUCUAUUAAGUACUAUAAUUAUGUAGCUUCCGUCUUAUCUAGAUGAAUGAAUGUUUAUAAUUCAAUAAUAUUAUCUAAUCUAAAAGAUAUUUUAUUGAUGACUUCAAGAAAUGCAAUUUAUACGAAUAAAUCAAUGUAGGAAAGGCCUAGGGAAUGAUUUCACAUAACUAUCAAUUAUAAUUCAAUUAUGUCUAAUUAUUCCAGUCAAUUUUUUAAUGUUCAAAAGCAAGAAUCCUAAUGUAUCUCUCCCCUCCCUCAGGUGCCGGCUUGAAAUUGAUUCUAGAUUUUAAUCUUAAUAUCUCUAUUUCGAAUUAAAAUCAAGAAUUUAUCAAGUACAUAAUUCUUUUAUGGAGUAAGUUUCAUAGAUCCUAUACUUUUGCUUGAAACCCUUAAAAUCUAUAUUUUGUUAAUCUUAUAAUCACACCUAAAUUCUCAUCUCUCAAGUGUUGGAAUUGACUAGCAUUUAUUUAUUUAAUUAGUGACCAAUUAAUUGAAAACAUUAAUUUCAUGACACAAUUAAAAAUAUGUGAAAAAUAAAUAGAAAUAACUAUGACAAAAUCAAAUCACAAUCUCAAGUUUGGCUACAUCAAACCUUAGAUAAAUUGUUUAGUUUAUGAAGGAAUUCACAAAAUCUACCCAAUUUAUAUAAGAAAACAUAGGGAAGAAGGAAAAGAUAAACUCCUUUGGAGCUUUAAUUCAAUUCUCCUUGAAUUUCUCCACACCUCCUUGCUUGAUUUCUUCAAUCUUUUGAUGUUUUGCCACCUUUGAAUUGUGUAUCUUGCCCCCUUUGAAUUAUAUCUUUUUAUCCCUUCAAUUCUCUGAAAUGUAGGUUGAAUUAUAUCCGAAAAUUAGGUUUUUGAUCUUGUAUUUAUAGUUUUUUGGAGCCUUGGAAAGAGUUGGAGACGAAUGAGGCCCGAAAAAUAGUUUAAAGACUUGAAAACUCUAGUUGCUGCACGGGGGUGCCUCGACGCUUCUUUUGCUGCUGAAUUUUAGUAGUGUGGGCAUUGCGGCGCCCAAGAUUGGUGGCGCUGCGGAGCCCAGUUUGAGUAAAAAGGCAGUUUGUGCUACUUUUAGUAUUUUCAUCAUAAUGAUUUCUCUCGAUAUCCUAUUGAUGUAAUUCAAGAUGCAUUGAAAAGCUAACUCAAAUGUCUACAACUUUUCUUCAGAUAUCAUUUUCCAAUUUGAAUAUUUUUUAUGUCAAAAAUGGGUCUUAAUGUGAUACUAAAAAUUUAGAGCAUAACUUUUUCGAUUAGAAAUUGAUGUGUAAUCAUGCUUUAGCUAUAUUUGAUCCCUUUGACAUCUUUCUUCAUCCAAUUGACCCGUAACACUCUCAAAUCUUCAUCAUGAGGUUCGAAACAACUUUUGAGUAUUUGCACUUUAGUCCCCGAACUUUGGAUCUUUUACAAUUUUAGCCAUUUCUCCAAAUUUGCCAUCUUUUACUUAUUUCCUUCAAUUUCAUCAUCUUAUAUCACAACAUCAAAAGACACAUUAAAAUGCUCUAAAAACUCGUAGAAGUUAGUUAAAUAUCAAGCUUAAAUUGUGUCUAAAAUAUGAGUAAAAUACACUCAUCAAAAAGCAAACAUAAAAAAAAUCGGGUCUAGAGAUGAGAAGGAAAAUACAUGAGUGGAAAGACUUGAUUAUUGGAAGUAUAACAUCUCAAAUUGGAUUCUUGUAUUGUGAACAUCAAGCUCCUUCCUUGCUGAUCGAGUUUUUGACUAAGAAUCGAGUACAAAACGGUGUAGAAAGCAAGCAAUCAAAAAGCAAGAAAUUCACUCUUUUUGGGAUUUUCAAGUAAGUUUUAAAGCUUGGAAUUAGAUUAAAAGCAUUGGUAUCAAAGCCUUAGCAGGUUAUUUUCUUGCUUAAUUACGUGUUAAAAGUGUUUUAUUAUGACGAAAUGUAUGAAUUCUAGAUUUCUCUCUAAACUUGAAGACCAUCAAUGGCAACUUUUGAUAUAAUCCAUAUAAAUUAAUGAAAUUUAUACCAUAUGUUCAUGAUACUAUGUAAAAUAUCUGAAAAUUUCACUUUGUUUGGGUUUGUAUUUUGGGAGAAAAAUUGAACCCUAGUUGAGAAAAUCGAAACUUAUCACAUGAUAACUUCUUACACGUUAAGUUUCACGCUACGCAUUUUACAUGGUUGGAUAGUUCUUCUUGAUACCUUUCCAACGGUAUGAAGAAUGUAAAUAUUGGUCUUGAAUUGAAAAAGUUAUGACUUUUUUUCAAAUCAUUUUAAUUUUAAUUUUUUUAAACAAAUUAACAAUUUCUAAAUCCAAAAUUUUGGCCCAAUAAUUUGUUUCAUUUCUAUUUUUUUUAAUUUUUGGCCCAAUUACCCAUUUUAUUGUUUCAUUUCUUAGUCCAACAAGAUCCAACCCACUAAAUAAUUCUAAACACCUAUACUAAAGUGCAUAACAUUGUCUCGACUCUCGCACUCAUUUUUGUAGUCUCGCUGACAUUUCAAAACCUAUACAAUUGUCGACCGACGCUGUGACUGCAACGAUAAUUUGAACAAGGUAGUCUACUAGUCUCUGACAUUCCAAAAUUAUUGCAAUUAUUUAGAUAGCUGAAGUUUUAGUAUUAAUAUCUAUUCUUUGGUAUUUGUAAAUUAUAAGCAUUGAUUAAUUAAUCUUGUUGGACAACUUGUUAUUUACAUGUUAUUAUAUUUUACUAUGUUAAUUUGUAAAACUACGAUUGAAUGUGUCAUUAAUUAUAUGUAUAUAGUGUUGUUAUAAAUGUUAAAAAAAUUAAUUAUAGUAUAGAACCGAACCCGAACGGUUCCAUAAUUAUAUUUAGACCUGACGGCUCCAUUUACUAGAUACCCGAAAAUUUUGGUUCGAUUCGAUUUUUCUUUAGAGCCAAACCGACCCGCGCCCACCUCUAUUGCCACCUUUAAUUGAGUGCAAUCUUACCUUCAAUUGAGUCCUUGAACUUACUAAUACCUUUAGUACAAUCCUCCAACUUAGUAAUAUGUUUUAUUUUCUUCAAUUUACUAAUACCCUCAAUUAAGUCCACAAUUUUUUGACACUUUCAAUUGAGUCUUCAAACUUAUUCUUACUUUCAAUGCAGUCCCCAAAUUUAGUUAUUCCUUUAGUUCAUUCUUCCUUCUUACUUUCUAUCAAGUCUUCCAUCUUACUAUGACCUUUAAUUAAGUCCGAUCAUACUCAUAUGUUCCACUUAGUACUCCAACUCAUUGAGACCUUUAAUUAGGGCUGGACAUGGUCUGGUUCGGUUCGAUUUUAACGAGAACCGAACCGACCCAAAACUUUCGGGUAUUUAGUAAGUGGAACCGUCGGGUCCAAAUUUAAUUACGGAACCGUUCGGGUUCGGUUCCGUUCGAUCCGGUUCGAUUCCAUUCGGUUCUGUAUUAUAAUUAAUUUUUUAAUAUAUACAAAGUUACGUUAAUUUAAUUAAUGAUAUAUUCAAUAUUAGCUCUUACAAAAUAACGUAGUUCAAUAUUAUGUGUUUCACGUCUCUCUUUGCCGAAUUCUACAUAAAUUUGAUUAUUAAANUUAAUUUUAAUUUUUUUAAACAAAUUAACAAUUUCUAAAUCCAAAAUUUUGGCCCAAUAAUUUGUUUCAUUUCUAUUUUUUUUUAAUUUUUGGCCCAAUUACCCAUUUUAUUGUUUCAUUUCUUAGUCCAACAAGAUCCAACCCACUAAAUAAUUCUAAACAUCAAUACUAAAGUGCAUAACAUUGUCUCGACUCUCGCACUCAUUUUUGUAGUCUCGCUGACAUUUCAAAACCUAUACAAUUGUCGACCGACGCUGUGACUGCAACGAUAAUUUGAACAAAGUAGUCUACUAGUCUCUGACAUUCCAAAAUUAUUGCAAUUAUUUAGAUAGCUGAAGUUUUAGUAUUAAUAUCUAUUCUUUGGUAUUUGUAAAUUAUAAGCAUUGGUUAAUUAAUCUUGUUGGACAACUUGUUAUUUACAUGUUAUUAUAUUUUACUAUGUUAAUUUGUAAAACUACGAUUGAAUGUGUCAUUAAUUAUAUGUAUAUAGUGUUGUUAUAAAUGUUAAAAAAUUUAAUUAUAGUAUAGAAUCGAACCCGAACGGUUCCAUAAUUAUAUUUAGACCUGACGGCUCCAUUUACUAGAUACCCGAAAAUUUUGGUUCGAUUCGAUUUUUCUUUAGAGCCAAAUCGACCCGCGCCCACCUCUAUUGCCACCUUUAAUUGAGUGCAAUCUUACCUUCAAUUGAGUCCUUGAACUUACUAAUACCUUUAGUACAAUCCUCCAACUUAGUAAUAUGUUUUAUUUUCUUCAAUUUACUAAUACCCUCAAUUAAGUCCACAAUUUUUUGACACUUUCAAUUGAGUCUUCAAACUUAUUCUUACUUUCAAUGCAGUCCCCAAAUUUAGUUAUUCCUUUAGUUCAUUCUUCCUUCUUACUUUCUAUCAAGUCUUCCAUCUUACUAUGACCUUUAAUUAAGUCCGAUCAUACUCAUAUGUUCCACUUAGUACUCCAACUCAUUGAGACCUUUAAUUAGGGCUGGACAUGGUCUGGUUCGGUUCGAUUUUAACGAGAACCGAACCGACCCAAAACUUUUGGGUAUUUAGUAAGUGGAACCGUCGGGUCCAAAUUUAAUUACGGAACCGUUCGGGUUCGGUUCCGUUCGGUCUGGUUCGAUUCCAUUCGGUUCUGUAUUAUAAUUAAUUUUUUAAUAUAUACAAAGUUACGUUAAUUUAAUUAAUGAUAUAUUCAAUUUUAGCUCUUACAAAAUAACGUAGUUCAAUAUUAUGUGUUUCACGUCUCUCUUUGCCGAAUUCUACAUAAAUUUGAUUAUUAAAAUCAUAGAAAGAGAAAGAUAGCGAGUUCAAAAUAAUUAAGAGAGAUGUUGUAGAGCUUUAAUUUGAUUUUCUCCGGUAGAGUAAAAUAACAUAUUUGGAUCAAAUUGAGGUCAAUUUGAUUAAGUUGAUUUUAAACUGAAAAUUAGAAAUAGGAAAAUCAUAUUUUGUGGUUUGAACUAAAUUCACUAGUUAACAAAUUUAUUUAGAAAAAAUAAAAUAAUUUUACUUAUUUAAAAUAAAUUAAUUAAAAAAAUUACGGAGUUUCGGUUCUUAUUCGAUUUUUCGGGUCUUAGCCUAUAACCGAGAGCCGAACCAUACCCGUCGGUUCUUGAUUCAAAUACCCGUUCGGGUAUUUAGUUUGAGAAGAACCGUCGGGUUCGAUUCUGUUCGGUUCGGUCGGUUUGGUUCGGGAGUUUUGUCCAGCCCUACCUUUAAUUGAGUCCUCUAAUAUUGUCAUGUCAUCAAUUCAGCCCUCCAACUUACUGAAACAUUUAAUUGAGUCCUCUAACUUACUUUUGCCUUAAGUUAAGUCUCCGUUUUCUUGACAGUUUCAAUCGAAUCCUCCAGCUUACCGACGCCUUCAAUUGAGGAGUUUAGCUUACUUGUACCUUCGAUUAAGGAACAUACAAUUUCAUUCAUUAUCUAUAUAAAAAAAAAAUAUUAAAGUUUAUUCUAAAUUAUAAGUUGUUCAGUUAAUAAAUUUCAAAUAUUCUUAAAAUUUUAAUCAAUUGAAAUUCUUUUACAACCUUAAUAUAAUCCCAACUUCUCUUAUAAGAGCCACUUUCGAAGUUACUAUUCAUUCUUGUAACUCUCCUUUUCACAUUUGGUUGAGUUAACUGUUCCUAAACUGGUUUUGACUUUUGAAUACAAAAUAUUUUUUCAUAUUCCCUCCUUAUUUUAUUAGUAGUAAUAUAUUUUUAAAUAAUAUUUUGUCACACUGUAAUUUUUUUUUUAAUUUUAAUUGGUCUGCAGAAAUGACAUCGUUUUCUAUUUUACCUGCAGUUUACAUGCUUUGAAUCUGACACACAGUACUUUUUCUCCAUUUUCUCACGCUAUCAACUAUCGACCAUAUCUUAUAAUUUCAUUAGUAAUAAUAUUUUCUUAAAUAAUUUUUUAUAUAAAGUUAUUCUUUAUUUCUAAAAUAUAAAAAGUUACUUAUAAGUAAAAAAAUCACUUUAAUUUAUUUAAAAGUAAUAAAAAAUCUUAUAAUUGUAAACCGUAUUCGUCGGCUCUCAAUUUAGAUACCCGUUCAGGUAUUUAAUUUGACAAGAAUCGUUGGGUUCAGUUCGAUUCGAGAGAUUUGCCCAGCCUUAGAUGGUAAUAAAUUGGAGGAUUGAAUAGAAGGUCUUACUAUGUAGGAGGACUAAAUUGAUUAUAUCAAUAAAUGGAGGUUUGAACUCAAGUUAAGGUUAGGGAAAGUUGGAGGGCCGAAUUGAACAAAGAAAGAAUGAGUACUCCAUUGAUGGUUGGCAAUACUUGAAGCAGUCAAUUGAAGGUUAGAGUAAAAUAAAGGACUAAAAUGUAGAUAAGAGUAAAUUGAUGUUAGGAAAAGUAGAAUGACUUAAUUGUUUUUUAGUAAGUUGGAGGACUCAACUCAAAGUAUGGGAAAGUUGGAGGGCUAAAUUGAAUGUCAUAAAUUUUGCUGAGUCAAUUAAUCAUUUGCAAGAGUUGAAGAAGUCAAUUGAAGGUUAGAGUAUAUUAAGGGUUCAAAAUGUAGUUUAGAGUAAGUUUGAGGACUAAAUUGAUAUUAGAAUUAGUAGGGGGACUUAAUUGAUGGUAGUAGCAGACUUGAAGACUUAAUUAAAGGUAAGGAGAAGAUCGAGGGCUAAAUUGAAUUUUGUAAAAGUUUGAGGACUCAAUUGGUUGUUGGUAAGACUUGAGUACUCAAUUGAAGGUUAGAGUAAAUUAAUGGAUUGAAUUGUAGAUAAGAGUAAGUUCGAGGAUUAAAUUGAUGUUAGAAUUAGUAGGAGGACUUAACUGAUGUUAGUAUAUGUUUGAGCAGUUAAUUCGAGGUCAGGGGAACUUAGAGGAUGAAUUGAAUGUUGUAAAAUUUUUUGGACUCAAUUGAUUGUUGGUAAGACUUGAAGUACUCAAUUGAAUGUUAGAGUAAAUUAAAGGACUGAAAUGUAAGAGUGAGUUGGAUAACUGAAUUAAUGUUGGAAGAGGACUUAGUUGAUGUUAUUUGUAAGUUUGAGGACUCAAUUAAAGGUUAGGGAAAGUUGAAGGGUUGAAUUGAAUGUUGUAAAAUUUUGAGGACUCAAUUGAUCAUUUGCAAGAUUGAAGUACUCAACUGAAGAUUAGAGUAAAUUGAAGGACUGAAAUAUAGAUAAGAGAAGUUGGAUGAUUGAAUUUGGCUCUACAAAUAAGGUUCAAAUAAGUUGGAGAAUUGAGUCUUAGUAAUUUGGAGGACCAUAUCGAAGGUACUCGUAAGAUGGAGCUCUCAUUUAAAGUUAAGAGUGAGUCGGAGGACUUAAUUGAAGUUGGUAGAAAGUUGGAGUGCUGAAUUGCAUAUUUAAGAAAGUUUGAGGACUCUAAUGAUCGUUGGAAAAACUUGAAGUACCUAAUUGAAGGUUAGAGUAGAAGGAAUUAAUUGUACUUACCAACACCAACAAUUAAGUCCCUCAACUUUCCAACGUCUUCAGUUAGGUCUACCUAAUGUAAAUCUUCAAUUGAAUCCCACAUGUUCGUGCAAUACCCGCAAGCAUACGGGAUCGUUGAUGAGUUAUAGAUUCAUUGAGUAGAAAGUAUCAUUCUACAUGAAAUAAAUCCAAUUAAAGUUUACUAGUUUUGUAUGGAAUUUAAAUUAUGUAAAACAAAAUGGAGAUUUUAAUUUUAUUUUUGCUAAGCCUUGUUUGAUUCUCAUUCUUGUCAAAAAAUGCAUUUUUAGAUAGUGUAUUGAUGAAAAAUUUGUAGUUAAAAAAUAAAUAAAAGUCAUGAAUUUACAUGUAAUAUUAUUUUAUUGAACAAUAUGUGAUUGAAGUGUAGUCAAAUCACUAUUAAAAAAUAUAUUUUAAUGAAAAAAAGGGCUAAAAUAAGGGCUAAAUUAUUCUAAGAAAGCAACAAAAUUUUGAUUUUUUAUCAAAUUAUGGAUGAUUGUAGAAUCCGCCUAUUAUUAUCUAUUUCAAUAUUUGAUUUGUAAUCUAAUUCGUUCAUACGUUCUUAAGCAUCGAUAAAAUUAAUGUACUUAACUUUCUUUUCCGAGACAAAUUAAUAAUAUCUCAACCACGGCCUAAAUUUAUUCCUGGCCCAAAUUCGAAUGGUUAAAACACGACAUGUUUAAAUGAUAAUAGUAAUGAGCAAUAUGUAAGUAACAUAAUAAUGUUUGUGAAAUGUUUAAAGGUUUCUAAAAGAUAUAUAUUUUUAUAUUAAUCUAAACAUUCGUUGUAUUAGUAAGUACAUCAUCCUCUUUUUUAUUGUGAAUUAUCACGUGCAAAUGAUUUGAUUUCAAAAAAUUAAAAUAUAUAACAAACUUAUUAAUCUCAAGCAUGUCCUACAUGAUAAGAAGUUCUGUACAAAAUAAUUAUGUGAUGGAAAAUCCACACCAAUACACAAAUCACCAGUAGAAAGUAAAAAUUAAUUCAACAGAGUUCUUCGAAACAAAUUGACCCAAAAUAAUAAUAAUAAUAAUAAAGAACAUCAAGUACUGCCACCGUUAAAGAAUAAAAAAAGUCUGUUAAAAUUAUUUCAUAGAACAAGAUCAAUAACUAGAUAUUUUCUUGUGGCAAUCGAACAAUAUUUAUAGACAUCAACGUUUUGAUCAUAGAGAAACAAAUUACUGUCCCAAUAAAGAAUAUUGCUGCUGGUAAACCACUUGCUAAAGUAACCCUCAGCCCUCUUCCAAAAGAUAAAGAUGAAAUCCUUCCUCUUAAAACUACAGGCAUGAAAUUUCCCAGAGAACCCAAGUGUGACAGCGCGGCCAAGAUCAAAUUACGUAAGUAAUUAGUAGUAGCAAGCCAAUAAUAGAUUAUAGAAGUUCGGAACCAUCUCCAGGGAUUCAAAAGACAUAGGUGAUCAUCCAAGGAUGAAACUUAGACGACUCAAAGAACAAAAAAAGUCGUGUAGAGAAGGAGAAAAGCCUAGAACUAACGGAGAAACUUCAUUCCCCCUGGUUUAAUUGUGUGAGAAAUUGGUUUCUUCUUCCUUUUUUCUGGUCUGUUGUGCGAGUAGACGAAAGAGGGCAAGGGUUUUGUAAGUAGGUAGAGAGAGAGAGAUAGGGCACGUGACUAGAUAGACGGUUGCGUAAAGUAGAAUUUUGGGAACUUUGAAUUUCAUGAAAAAUAAAAUCUUACUUCACCUCAAGAAAAAUAUGGUCACGUGACCAAAAAUUGGAAAACGUUUUCCAUGCAAAAAAUUAUCAACCAAAUAGUGGGAAUUUGAAUGGAAAAAAAAAAAAGAAGAUAUUUUCUAAGGAAAAUAUUUGCAAUCAAACAUACCCUUAAUUUCCAAAGAACUAAUAAACCCAAAAAACAAACUAUGAGUUUGUAGAAAUAAUUCAUUCACGUUUUUUCAUCGACUGAUUAUUUCAAAUACAAGAUAACAUUAAUGUUUUACCCUAAAAAUAAUGAAAAAUCAAACCUAUUCUUAGCAACCUACCUGAGUCUAAUUCAAACACAAAUUACAUUCUAAAAUAUAAAAAAAAAAAAAAACUAAAAUAAACACAUCGGGGCUAGGUCGAGGUAUUCGAGAAGGAAAAGGGAAAUUUUACCAUCUUUAAUUUGAACGCAAUCCCGCUAGGUCAAAUCUAUCACUUUACCAUGAAGUCAUUUACUUCAUUGUCAUUUAUUCAAGAUACUGAAAUUAACCAUAUAGCAAAUUACGAAAGCUCUUUUAAAUCACUCAAUUUUUAUUCUUUGAAAAUUGAACUACAAAGUUUAGUUUUGACUGAAAAAUAAUAUUUUGGGCUCAAUUAAUUAGUUGGCAAAUGAAACAUGAAAUUGAUAAUUUUCGACCAUGGAUUUUUCUUCCUUUUCUUUUGCCGCAUUUUGCUAGAAGGUUUGAAGGAAGAUAGUGCAUCAAGCUGUUCGCAUGGGCCAACUUGAUCCUCUUCCCCAGGGAUCUCAGAUGAGGGACCCCUGGGAGAGCCGCCGACUCCAACUAUAGUCCAUGUAUGAUCCAUACAGAUCCGAUCAACUGCCCAUCCUACCUCCUUUACGUUUUUGAUAGCCCAUCUUUGUCUCAAUAGAGUCUUUUAGUAACAUGUUUCGGUCCUCUUCCCCAUUACCUAAAAAAAGUGAGCCAUCGGUUCAAGUACAAGAUACUAUCAUUACUGCCUGGACAAUUAGACAUCCAACCCGUAAUCGCAAUGACCCAAUUGCAAGAGCGGAGCUCUACCAACUAAGUUAUAUCCCCUCGAGCCAAGUGGAGUAUGCAUGAAGUAGUUGAAUCCUUCUUCUAUUCUUUUUCCUGGCGCAGUUGGGCCAUCCUGGAUUUGAACCAGAGACCUCGCCCGUGAAGUAAAUCAUUGCACCUACGGUCCAACCAAUUAGGAGAGAAUCAAUAGAUUCCUUUUCGGGAGCGAUUCAUCCUUCUCGAACGCAGUACACAACUCUCCAUUGUACUAUCUGUAAUCAAAGAAAGAUAAUGGAAAUGACUCUUAUCUUAGUUGGUAGAUUGAUAUUAAAAAAAAUAAUACUAAUAAUUUGACUUAUUUACUAUAAAAAAAAAAAAAAAAUUUAGGGAGAUUUGAUUUUUAGUUUAAAAUCGAGAACCGAACCAAAUUCGUUGAUUCGUGAAUUCGAUACCUAUUCAAGUAUUUAAUUUAAGAAGAACGUAUUUAAUUUAAGAAGAACUGAAUCGAAUCACUCGGGGUUCAAUUCGGUUCGGAGUCUUGCCCAGCUCUAUCUGUUCCUGAUAAUAGAUUCCGUUCAAAAAGUCUAUUAUAAGGGCUUAAAAGACUAGUUUGCCCCUAUAUCUUUAAAUUAGCAAAAAUAAAAAAUAAUAAAAAAAAUUAUUACACUAUUUGCAUCUCAUUUCAAAGUAUGCUAACAAAAUAAUUGGAUAAAAAUGAUUAUUAAACACAAGAUGUGCAAAUUAUUGAAAGAUUGAGAAUGAAAAUCUGUAAAAAAUAUUUGAGACAUAAGUGUGACAUUAAGCAAAAAGUUAAGAACUUUUAAAACUGAUGCACUCAAAAGAAAAAUUACGAUUUAGACAUUCUUUUCACUUUUUAAUUGCAACUAAUUCAAUUCCUCUUUAUAUUAUUAUUAUUUUUAUAAUAUUAAUAUAAAGUCGUUUUAUUAAAGUUGUGCUAACAAAAUUUAAAUAAAAAAGGACCAUCAACCUUCAAAAGUGAUCUUUUAUAUUCCAACUUAUCCAAACUAUCAAAGUAGAUGUUAAAAUUAUUUAAAUUUUACGUGAUUUAAAAAUUAACUUUAAGUGAUAUCAAGAUUCUGCUCUUGAACUUAAAGUCUUGUACAAUUUUAACGUAACUAUUAAUGAUUUUUUCGUUACAUACAAAAUCAAAAUUCAGAAUCUCAGUGUCAUAGGUUAAAUGACAAAAAAGUCAUAUAUUCGCACUAAUUCAAAAGGUUAUGAAAAAGAAAACACAUAAGAGAAGGCGAAAAAAGAAAAAAAUUAUAGUUAUAUGGGUAAUUCUUACUUAGAUCACAAUUUUGGUUAUUUGUACGACAUUUUAAUUGCGAUUAAUGUUAUUGACUUUUGCUCAUUUUUACACUUGUGUUAUCAACUUUUUUUUGUCUUAUUUUUGUCCUCAAACUUUAUUUGUGAGCACAUGUCAUCCCUCAGGACGAUGAAAUUUGUUAGAAGAGAAUAAAAAAACAUAUUUGAUUUUUUUAGAGUGAAAAAUUGCUACCAAAUGAAAAUUAUAUUUCACAAAUGUGUAUACUAUAGCAAGCGUUAGUAGUAUAAAAGAUCAUAUAAAAAUAAAUAAAACUAUUUUGCUUUUCUAUUUCACAUAGUGAUACAUGCACUUCCCAUAUUUUUAUUUAUUUAAAGAGAAGAAAAAUUCAUCGUUUAAUAACCAAAAUUUAAAGAAAUACAUUUUUUUUUAAAACUUAAUUGAAUGAUUAUUGAUGAAUAAUGUUUUAAAAAGAUUGAGAUUGAAUUUGUUGCAUUUGACAUAGUUCAUGGACUAAAAAUGCAAAUUUCCCCAUAUAUAUUUAAUAGGAGUGGCGUCGUUCACGUCAUGUUUGUAUUAUACUAAUAAUUGAAAUAGGAAAAGACCUCCAAUUACGUGUCUUCUCCGUUGGAGCACAAGAAUUUUUAUCCAAUUUAACCGAAAAAAUAAAAAUCAAAAAUCAAAGCAUCUUCUUUUGGGAUUAUUGCAGUAAUCUACAGAUCCGAUUUCCGUUAAACCGCUCAAAAUCCUGCCAAUUAUAAUUUCACCAGCUUUCAAGGGUAAGAAAUUCUCCUUCGAUAAUUCUUCAAUUUUUCAGGCGUUGAAUUUCGUGUUGAGUUUGCGAUUUAAAUUCUUUAUUCGAAAUUGCAGUGCUUAGGGUUUAAGAUUUUUUUCCCCUACGGUAAUCUAUGUUGGUCUCAGUUUUAAAGAUUGGUAAAUUUUCUUUAAGAAAUCUAUUACUCUCUUAUUUUUCAUACGUAAAAUAUUGUUUAAGAGAGGACGGAAGGAUUGGAUCCAAGAUCGGGCUACAAAAUUUAAAAUCGAGCUACCAUGCGGAAAAAUAAUUUUAACCAUAAAAAACUGGUUUUUUUACCAAAAACAAAAAGCAAAAAAUACCUUAAAAAAAGCUCUUGGGCCUGAGUUGGGGGGGGGGGGGGGUAACNNNNNNNNNNNNNNNNNNNNNNNNNNNNNNNNNNNNNNNNNNNNNNNNNNNNNNNNNNNNNNNNNNNNNNNNNNNNNNNNNNNNNNNNNNNNNNNNNNNNNNNNNNNNNNNNNNNNNNNNNNNNNNNNNNNNNNNNNNNNNNNNNNNNNNNNNNNNNNNNNNNNNNNNNNNNNNNNNNNNNNNNNNNNNNNNNNNNNNNNNNNNNNNNNNNNNNNNNNNNNNNNNNNNNNNNNNNNNNNNNNNNNNNNNNNNNNNNNNNNNNNNNNNNNNNNNNNNNNNNNNNNNNNNNNNNNNNNNNNNNNNNNNNNNNNNNNNNNNNNNNNNNNNNNNNNNNNNNNNNNNNNNNNNNNNNNNNNNNNNNNNNNNNNNNNNNNNNNNNNNNNNNNNNNNNNNNNNNNNNNNNNNNNNNNNNNNNNNNNNNNNNNNNNNNNNNNNNNNNNNNNNNNNNNNNNNNNNNNNNNNNNNNNNNNNNNNNNNNNNNNNNNNNNNNNNNNNNNNNNNNNNNNNNNNNNNNNNNNNNNNNNNNNNNNNNNNNNNNNNNNNNNNNNNNNNNNNNNNNNNNNNNNNNNNNNNNNNNNNNNNNNNNNNNNNNNNNNNNNNNNNNNNNNNNNNNNNNNNNNNNNNNNNNNNNNNNNNNNNNNNNNNNNNNNNNNNNNNNNNNNNNNNNNNNNNNNNNNNNNNNNNNNNNNNNNNNNNNNNNNNNNNNNNNNNNNNNNNNNNNNNNNNNNNNNNNNNNNNNNNGGGGGGGGGGGGGUUACAGCCUAGCUCAGCCCCUCCUUAAAUACGUCUCUGGUUUAAGAUGUAUAUAAUCAAACCGUUUAGCUGCUUCUUUAUUAUUAUUAUUAUUAUUAUUAUUAUUAUUAUUAUUUGCCCGUCUGCUCUUAAUGGGUCUUGUUGGCAAAAAUAAAAUGAAUAUAGUAAUGAAUUCAAAUAAUUAACUAGUUCGAGGUGUGCAAGCACUGUCCUUAAGGAUAAUUCUAGUAAAAUCGGCUAUCCCCCAGGAUUCAACGAACUCUUCCUCAAGUGAGAGGGUGACAGGAACAACAAAGUUCAAAUAAGAUUAUAGACCCAUUGUAAAUACUAAUUGAAACAUGUUGGACAUGUGGCUCAUAUAGAGCGGAACACAGGUCCUGGGCACAGGGGUAUUUUUUGUACGGGCUUUAAAGUCUUAUCCCCUAGGUUAGAGUUAGUAUAAAUAAUAUGUUAUAACCCUAUUUUUCACUACUGAAUGAAAUCAUCUCCGCUUCGCUCUCGUGGACGUAGGUACACUGCCGAACCACGUAAAAUUCUUGUGUUGAUUUUCUUUUUCAUCUAUUUAAUAUUGCGCAUAAAAUCCAACAAAUCACAAAAUAAAUUUUUAAGAAAGCUAUGGAGAAAGAAUAAGAGAGAAUAUAUGAAAUGGAGAUGAGAUGUGUGUAAAAUGAGUGAAUAAGUGGCUGUAUUUAUAGGCCUCAAGGUAACCACUUUUGCAAUUAUCGUGGCCAAUAUCAGUAAACUGUAAGCCAUAUCUUGCAGAUUUUGUGCAACCAACAGGCAACAAUUAAACGUGCAUAUCAAGACUUGGUCAAUUGGCUGUUGGAAAUAACAGUCAACUCAAAUGUGGUCAAAUAUAAUCUUUUAAAAUAUUUUAUACAACAAUUCCCCACAUAUUUUAAAAGGUUUAUAUUGGGUCUAUACAUAUUGAUGUAAAUGCCUUGAGUUUGGUAUUUUUUGGAUUAUGAACCAGAUCUAGAAAGAAUGGAACUUAACUUACAGAGUUAUUAGUAAAGCUUAUAGCUUCUAUGAACCAACACACUCUUAUUGUAAGUUGAAGGUUUCACCGAUCACAUUACACCACCACAAUUUUUGUUGUUCAAUGCGUUUUGCGCUAAUAGGCCAUGCAUGUGUCUGGUUAUAUGAGUGCUCUAGAGAUUUUAUCUCAUGGAAGCGGCCCCACCCCACUGCAACUUUAUACACCACUUUUAAAGGCUACGGAAUAUAUGAAGAGCUUAGCUCAACCUCACGUUGAAUUGCAGUUAAGCACUAAUCACACACCAUAGGUAGGACUUAGUUAAUUUUUUAGUGCUUCAGUAUCAUCAAGUGACUUGUUAUUACCCAUAUGAACCUAAUUCAUGGGAUCUCCAAUCACACAGGUCGGGUUACCAUCACCCUUGAUAUCUCAUAUAGGCGUCAGUCCCAUACCCAUUAAUGUUUCAAGAAUUAAUUUUCUCCCCGAUGUUUUAGUCAGUAGAUCGGCCAAAUUCACUUCUGACUUCACAUAAUUGAUAGAUAUAAUUCCAUAUUUUAACAGCUAUUUUAUCACAUUGUGUAUCAAUCAAUUAUGUCGAUUUUUGAUAUUGAAAGUCUUGUUCUUUUCAAUGGCCAUUGCCGCUUGACAAUCACAGUGUAUCGAUAUAGAUGGUGUUGGUUUCAUUCCUAGUGGAAUCUCGGCUAAGAAAUUUCUUAACCACUCAGCUUCAAUACCAGCUAAUUCCAAAGCUAUAAACUUAGAUUCCAUGGUGGAUCUAGAAAUGAUAGUUUGUUUGGCUGAUUUCCAAGUAAGUGCACCCCCACCAAGAGUAAAUACAUGACCACUAGUGGAUUUAGUCUCAUCUGAAUUUGAAAUCCAAUUUGCAUCACUGUAUCCUUUCAAUACAGCAGGAAAUCCACUAUAUAGAAUGCCAUAGUUCAUGGUACCUCUUAAAUAUUUCAUUAGUCUGACUAACCCAACCCAAUGAUCACAAUUAGGAUUAUGAGUAUAUCUACUUAGCCUGUACACAGCAUAAGCUAUGUCAGGUCUAGAAAAUUUAUCAAAUGCAUCAGACUCCUAAUAAUUUGAGCGUAUUUAGUCUGAGCAAUUGGAUCACCACGAUUUUUUUUUAAUUGAGUGUUUGCAUCAUAAGGAGUACUCAAAGUGAUCAAACUUCCUAAGAAGUUUCUCUACAUAAUAUUGUUUAUGACAACAUUAUACCAUUGUCUCUCCUUGUGAUAUAAACCCCCAAAAUCACAUUAGCUUCACCGAUGUCUUUUAUAUCAAAUUUUGAAGCUAGAAAACAUUUAGUACUUUGUCCCACAUCAAUGCUAGUACCAAAUAUAAGCAUAUCAUCCACAUAUAAACUAAUAAUCACACAUUCAUUAUUAGCAACUUUUGUAUAAACACACUUAUCCACAUCAACUGAUGAGAAACCGUUACUUAAUAUAAUUUGAUCAAAUUUUUCAUACCAUUGUUUUGAUGUUUGUUUAAGACCAUAUAGUGACUUUCUCAAUUUACACAUUUUAUUCUCUAAUCCAGGGGCUAUAUAGCCCUCUGGUUGCACUAUAUAAAUCUCUUCUUCUAGAUCGCCAUUUAAAAAAACUGUUAUGACAUCCAUUUGAUGUAUAAAAAGCUUGUAAAUAGAUGCUAAGGCAAUUAAAACACGUAUUGAAGAAAUUCUAGUUACUGGGGCAAAAGUAUCAAAAUAGUCAACAUUUUGUUUUUGCGCAAAAACUUUUGCAAAUAGUUUAGCUUUAUAUUUAUCAAUUGAACUACCAGGAAAACAUUUUUUCCUAAAAAUCCAUUUGCAAACAAUGGGUUUUGUCCUCGGAGGUAAAUCGACUAAUUCCCAAGUUCGAUUUUUUAAAAGUAACUCAAUCUCAUUACCAAUAGCUUCUUUCCAAAGUGAUGCAUCAGAAGAUGAGAUAGCAUCAGAGUAAGAGAUUGGGUUAUCAUCAACAAGAUAAGUGAUAGAGUCAUCUCCAAAAGAAAAUUCUUUCCUAAUUCUCUUACUCUUUGUUAAUUCCUUGUUAGAGGUCAUGUCAACACUUUCAUUAGUGUUUUGACUAACAGAUGCAUGAGAAAUCUUUUUAGACAAUGGAUAAAUAUGUUCAAAGAACUCAACAUUCUUUGUUUCAACAAUAGUAUUGCAAUCAAGAAUAUCACUUUUCAAAACGAGAAACCUAUAUGCAGCACUAUGUUCAGCAUAGCCAAUAAACAUACAAGCAAAAGUUCUUGAGCCUAUUUUUCUUUUCCUAGGUUCAGGUAGCAUAACUUUAGCAAGACACCCCCAUAUUUUUAAGUAUUUCAGGUUAGGAGUAUAACCCUUCCACAAUUCAUAAGGUGUCUUUCCAGUUUUCUUAUAGGGAAUUCUAUUUUGUAAGUGACAUGCGGAUAUGAUAGCUUCCCCCACAAGUUAUUAGGUGUAGGAGAACUUAUUAGCAUAGCAUUCAUAAUUUCUUGUAGUGCUCUAUUUCCUUUCAGCUACACCAUUUGAUUGUGGAGAAUAAGGAGGGGUAGUUUCAUGAAUUAUACCUUCCUUUUCACAAAAUUCGUUUAUUGGUAAGAAUUCUCCUCCUCUUUCUGAUCUAACUCUUUUGAUUUUUCUAUUCAAUUGAUUUUCAACCUCAGCUUUAUAAACUAGAAAUGAAUCAUAAGUUUCAUAUUUAUUUCUAAGCAAGUAAAUUUUGAUAUAUCUUGAGUAAUCAUCUAUAAAAGUUACAUAAUAUUUCUUUCCACAUCUUGUCAUAGUUUGUUUUAAAUCACCUAAAUCAGUAUGAAUUAAAUUUAGUAACUCACUUUCCCUAUGAACAGGUGCACACGUUUUCUUAGUCUCAACACAAACUUGACAUUUAUUUAUGCAUGUAGAGCCAGAACUAGAUGUCAUACCCAAAGAAAGCAUUUUCUUAAUAUAUGGUAUACUAACAUGACCUAAUCUAGCAUGCCACAUAUCGAUAGAAUUAGUCAAGUAGACAAAAGAUGAUCCAGCAUUUUCAUUAAUAACAUUGUGAACAUUCAGUACAAAUAACCCUUGAUUACAAUAACCUUUCCCUACAAGAACUUUAUUUUUGGUCAUUACGAUCUUUGGACACCCUAACCCAUGCUUUCCCUAAUAAAGCCAUAGAUAUUAAAUUUGCUCUAAUGUUGGGAACAUACAGCACUUCAUUCAAAGCUAAGGUAGAGCUAGAGGUUAGCUUGAGUUGGACUUUUCCUUUACCAAGAACAUUUGUUGUUCUUGGAUCUCCAAGGUAGAUUACCUCUUCUCCAUCUCCUACAGAAGUGUAGGAGGAAAAGGCAUCCCUAUUAGCACAAAUGUGUCUUGUUGUCCCAGAGUCUACCACCCAGUCCUUAUCACUGGCCAUAAUAUUCACUUGAGAAAUAACCGUCGCUAUAAUAUCAUUUCCUUUGACCAAGUUGACUUUUGGGUUUAGAGGAUCGUCAUUUCUCACUUUUUUAUGACACUGGGGUGCAUGAUGGCUAGGCUUUCCACAAACAUAGCAAGUGCCUUUCUUUUUGAACAUAUGGUUAUUAACUUUAGGCUUGAAAUCACAGGUUUUGUUGUUGUACCUUUUUCCUUGUACCAGCUUGGACUUUGUUGCCAUUUCCUUUGACUUUGCAGCUUUUGACUCCUUUCAAUUGGUGUCCUCAAUAAGGAUGUGUGUGAUUAGCUCAUCCAUCGAAAGAAGCUUAUGCUUGUGUUUCAAAUUGUUUUUAUAGUCAUUCCACAACUUUGGCAGCUUUUCAAUCAAAAUCCCAGCUACAAACUUUUUUGGUAGCUCAAUCUCCUCGGCUUUCAACUCUUCUAGUAACUUCUGGUAUUCAGUGAUUUGAUCCUUGAUAUCCUUAUUGUCUAUCAUCUCCCAUCGGUAGAAUUUGAGUACAACAAACUUUUGUUUUGUUGUAUCCUGUACAUUGAACUUCUUGACUAAUGCCUCCCAGAUGGUUUUAGCUUCCUUAUAGCUACAAUAUACAUCAAAUAGUUCAUUAGACAAAGUUUGUAAGAUGGUGUAUCGACAAACCUUUUUGGCAUGGACCCAAGCAUCUUGAAUGUGAGCUUCAGAGUUUGAUGAAGGUUUUGGGUCUUUGAGCGCAAAUGCCACUCCAUGUAUGUCGAGCAAAGAGUACAAACGUUCUUGCCAUCUCUUGAAAUUCUCGUCUGCGAAGACCUCGAUUUUUGAGACAUCCGGGAAUGGCUUGGCAAGUGUCAUCGCCAUGGAUGAUGAUGGACCAUUCUCAGGUAUGGUGAUUGAAGGAGGUGUACCCGAAGCGGUGUUGUCGUCGGAAGCCAUUUAUCCUUAAGAUUGUUGGCAAAAAAAAAAAAAAAAAAAAAAAAAAAAAAAAAAAAAAAAAACAUCUUGAAUGUGAGCUUCAGAGUUUGAUGAAGGUUUUGGGUCUUUGAGCGCAAAUACCACUCCAUGUAUGUCGAGCAAAGAGUACAAACGUUCUUGCCAUCUCUUGAAAUUCUCGUCUGCGAAGACCUCGAUUUUUGAGACAUCCGGGAAUGGCUUGGCAAGUGUCAUCGCCAUGGAUGAUGAUGGACCAUUCUCAGGUAUGGUGAUUGAAGGAGGUGUACCCGAAGCGGUGUUGUCGUCGGAAGCCAUUUAUCCUUAAGAUUGUUGGCAAAAAAAAAAAAAAAAAAAAAAAAACANNNNNNNNNNNNNNNNNNNNNNNNNNNNNNNNNNNNNNNNNNNNNNNNNNNNNNNNNNNNNNNNNNNNNNNNNNNNNNNNNNNNNNNNNNNNNNNNNNNNNNNNNNNNNNNNNNNNNNNNNNNNNNNNNNNNNNNNNNNNNNNNNNNNNNNNNNNNNNNNNNNNNNNNNNNNNNNNNNNNNNNNNNNNNNNNNNNNNNNNNNNNNNNNNNNNNNNNNNNNNNNNNNNNNNNNNNNNNNNNNNNNNNNNNNNNNNNNNNNNNNNNNNNNNNNNNNNNNNNNNNNNNNNNNNNNNNNNNNNNNNNNNNNNNNNNNNNNNNNNNNNNNNNNNNNNNNNNNNNNNNNNNNNNNNNNNNNNNNNNNNNNNNNNNNNNNNNNNNNNNNNNNNNNNNNNNNNNNNNNNNNNNNNNNNNNNNNNNNNNNNNNNNNNNNNNNNNNNNNNNNNNNNNNNNNNNNNNNNNNNNNNNNNNNNNNNNNNNNNNNNNNNNNNNNNNNNNNNNNNNNNNNNNNNNNNNNNNNNNNNNNNNNNNNNNNNNNNNNNNNNNNNNNNNNNNNNNNNNNNNNNNNNNNNNNNNNNNNNNNNNNNNNNNNNNNNNNNNNNNNNNNNNNNNNNNNNNNNNNNNNNNNNNNNNNNNNNNNNNNNNNNNNNNNNNNNNNNNNNNNNNNNNNNNNNNNNNNNNNNNNNNNNNCCCAUCUAUUUAUGGUCUGGAUGUUCAUUGUUGGCUGUUGGAACUGUACUUCUUUAUCUGUCUUCUUUGAAUUUCAUGCCUUCAUUUUGCACUUUCUUUGUAGAGUUUUAUUCAUAUCAUAUGUUUUCUCCGUUUCUAGUCAAGCUAGCUUGUUUGAAGUUUGGCAGAGUGCUUGUAAGCGUUAUUCCAUAUUCCUUCCCUUUUGUUUCAUUGCUUUCACUGAUGCGGCAGACAAUUUCUGUGCGCAUUAAAGUAUGUUUUCAGGAUCCAAAAUAAUCCAUCGUCAUUGCUACUAUUAGGUAAAUCAUGUUUCUGAUUGGAGCAUUGACAUAGGAAGCAUUUUUCCCUUACUGAAUGGAUGUUUGGGAUAGAUUAUUUCAAGAGAAUAUGAUUUUUUGUGAAAAAUAUGUGGUUUAAAGGUAGGAAAAAAUAUGGGUUCACGUGCAAAAUUAUUUUAGUGGGAGAAUAUAUGGUUGAAAAUUAGUUUGAGGAAAAAUGGUUUUCAAAUAAGCUUUGCCAAAAAAACAAUACUGAAAAACUCAAUGGGUCAAGACUCAAGAGAGAUUGGCGUCUGAGCUGUUUUGCCUAUAUUCUGAGAUUGGUGUCUCAAGAACCUUUGAGAGAGUAAAGGCUUGCUUUCAUGUAUGCUAGUAGUUAUAUUUUCUUGGAGGCGGACAGUGAUUUCCAAGCCAGCAGCUAUUAGAUAUUUUGUUCUUUUUUUCUAGUUGUCAGCAUAUUCCUGAAGCUUUAUGACUACUUUUUAGGAAUGGAAAUGGCUCAACUGAUAUGUGGAGGUUGUCGUACCUUACUUAUGCAUGCACGAGGGGCUACCAGUGUCAGAUGCUCCUGCUGUCAAACAGUGAACCUCGUGCCUGGUACUAAAGUCUGGAGAGUGUAUUUUAUUACAUAGGCUCGAUCUAUAUAUCUUCUUACUCUUUCCCACUUUCAGGAUUGUAUUGAUAUGCUCUUCAUAAAAGUUUAUGAAAAUAUUACAGAUUGUGCCAUAAAUAUCCUCUACACUACUUACCCUGGUUUAAUACCUUGAUUGUUCCUGUCUGGAUUCACUUAAGUUAUUCUUUUAUCUUCAACUCAUUACCACUGAAUAAUGGAUGUGCAGCACCUAAUCAUGUUGUAAACUGUGGGAACUGUCGAAUCAUGUUGAUGUAUCCAGCUGGAGCUCCAUCAGUUAAAUGUGCAAUUUGUCAGAACAUCACAACUGUCAAUGUUAGUAACCAGGUAUUUACUCUACUCAGUUAUACCCUUGCUCACAAAAAUGCUUUAAAAAUAGUCCUUAUGGCUUACAAAAGUUAGGCUCAUCUUUGAAUGCUUCCAUCAAUUUAUCCGUGUAUUUGUCUCAGUGCCCAUGUUUCCACUGCAUAUACGAACUAUACCCUUUAAGUUCUUGUUUGUGUACCUCUUCAGGUGCCAAAUGCUGCAAAUUACAUAAUAUUAUUAUUGAGUCUAGUCCUGAUAUAUAGCUAAUAGCUUUAUGCUGUUCCUAAUUCGUUUCUUCUUUUGCAGAUGGGUGCAUCAAGAGUUCCAAUUCCUGUGCAAAGACCUGAUGGAAACUCUACAUCUGCAUCAAUACCGUCUACCUCCCCUGUGAGUUGAUCGAUUUGUAUCAUAUAGUCACUGUAAUUGCUAUUAUCUGAUGUGGCAUUCAAUGAUUUGAACUGCUCUAUUCGAUGCAGGCUGCAUCCCAUGCUCAGAAUCAAACAGUUGUUGUUCAGAAUCCUAGUUCUGUUGACGAAAGUGGCAAGUUGGUGAGUUACUUCACAUCUCCCACUAGUUUUUUCCUUCCCACAUUUCUGUAUGUUUGCUGUUACUGUUACUAUUUUGUUGUUUAAAACUCAGAAGACAAAUUAGGCUGAUGUAAUUCAAAAUUUUCAGGUUAGCAACGUUGUCGUUGGCAUUACAACAUAAGAAUGUUAUCGGAAUGUAUUGCAUCGAGUACUAUAUUUGGGAAUAAAUGGCUAUUUCAGGAACUGGGCUUCGACCUGGUAUAUAGAGAUAUCUGUGCAUAUCAUUGCCAAAGACAAAUAUUGAAGUACAAAACUUCUGGUUGUAAAGUUUUAGAAAAGACUGCAGUUUUGUUUACCGUACGAGUAAAAACAAGUGUUGAUAUUUUAGUUAUUUGUGGUUUUAUGCUACUGAAUAAUUGUGUUUGCUAUGUAUGCCCGAAAAGCGUGAAAAAUUGCCAACUAUAUAUCAGCCGUUUAUUUUAUUUUUUUUAUUCGGAUUGAAUUUAUGUUGGCUUCACCGGGAGGCUCGCGUAGUUUGUUACAUUAGCUCCAAAAGGAUAAGUUGUGUUGGAAUUGAUAAAAUUAUGUGGAGUUCAUAAUUGCAUAAAAGAAGUCAAAGUAGUGGCGACGGCGCGUUGAGGCACGUAUUCGACAGUUCUUAUACGCCCAUCCUUCGAAAAAUUCAUGGGUAGGAAAUAUUGAAUUGGAAAAUUAUCAAUUUUGAUCUUAUACAGUCCAAAAAUGCUAUUAAUUCAGCAGCAAAAUUGCUCAUACAUAGUAAGGCCAAAAAGAUGAAUAUGCUCUUUAUAAUCAUUAAAUUUUUUAAAUGAUUGUUUUGAUGUAUCAAGAAAAUUCUUUGAAAGAAAAGAAUCAAAUAAUUUUGAUGGGCUAUGCUAGAUUACAAUUAUGGCCUCGUUAGGCACCCAUUUUUUUAAAAAUCCAUUUCUCUCUUUUUUUUCAGCUACACAUUCUUUAUUUAUAAUAUUGUAUAUAAAUAAAUAAAUAUUUCCUUAUUUUUCAACUAUACAUUUUUCAUCAAUUUACUAUUCUAAAAUACAUUUUUACAUAAAAAUGGAUAUCAAACACCCUCAUAGUGAAAAACCGAAAAAAAAAUGAAAAUAAAAAACGUCAUCAGUGAUCAAGAAUUUGACAUUAACAUCAACAAUGAAUUGAUCAACUUUCUUGAACUUGCUAGAUUCAGCAAGAUCAUCCAAUACAGAAAGAAUAGAAGUACAAUAUCAAGAUCAAUGAAGCUAUCAAGAAACAGGGGACCCUAUAACUCUCAUUUUCCCUUUACUAAUUCUAACUAUGACUAUCAUACAAAUCAAUCUGUGGGAAUUUCAAUGAAUCUUGGAUGCAAAAACAGCACAAAAAUCCAAAAAAAUACUACGAAGAACACAUUGCUCAAGCGUGCCACGCCAAAACUCACCUCUAUAAUAGUUUCUUCCUCCGGUUUCAUGUCAUUUGGAGAUGGUGGCAGAAUGAUAGUUCCUUCCACCGGUUUUGGGUCAUUUGGCGACGGUGGCAUAAGGAUCGGUUUAGGCAUAUGCGUCGAUGCUGCUGUCUUGCCCGGCGGCGGCGGUGGUGAAAAGAGGCCGUUGUCAUUGCUGCCAUAGACAUUGUAAUCAAGAACUUUGUUGAUUCCAUGCACUGAAAAAGCAGCGUUCACAAGAAUAUCUGGAUGGGUGACUAGAGAGUCAUCGAGGGUGAAAUUGAAUCGCGAAGUGUUGGUAAUGACGAUGAACUUGGAAGGGAAGAGCGUGGGGAGGCGCGUGAGGAUAGGGAACUGUUGUAGAUCAGAGAAAGAGAGGCGCUGGGGGACUAUGUGGUAAGGGACAAUAAAAGCGUCGAAGUUCAUUCCGGCGGCGUUGGCGGUUGGAAAGCCGGAGAUGGCAUCGUUGCUCGGAACGAAGAGAGUGGCGGUGAGCGGCAGAGAUGAUGGGUUGAUGGAGGAGAGCAAAUUGAUCCAUCUCGCAAAGUCUCCGGCCCGGUUUAGGGCGUCGAUUAUAUUGUUCAGCUGUUUCUUUUGAAUCUCCACCAGUGGCAGCGGCCGAGGCGGAGGAAAAUAACUGGUGGGUGGAAAACGUGGGUGUGGUAGUGAGAUUGAGGAUGGAAAGGGUGGUGGUUUUGCGGCGGAGGUGAGGUGGAACCCGGUGGUGGUGCCCAUGAUUGCCACCAGGAGAAUCAGGCAAAGAAAGGAGGAAAUUUCCAUCAGUUUCUUGGUGAAUUUUGAUCAAAAUACGGAUUCUACGAUUAUGAAUCUCUAUAUAUUUUGUUGAAUUCUGAAUUCUGAGAGGGAAAAUUAACGAACUUCGUUUCUUGAAUUCUGGAUUUACUUCUAACUAACUUUAAUAACCCGCUAAAUUUUGAACAUGUGACUAUUACCAACUUGGUCCGCAAUAUUUGAGCCUGAGCAUUUUAAUCCUCAAUCUAUUUUUGUUGCACAAACUAGUCCGAAUUCGAAACCCGACCUUGUGUUUAUGCCAAUACAUCGCGAGGUGUACAUAUGGUGAAGCAAGGUCACAAGAGAACUAACCAAACAACCAGUACUUUAUUAUUUAGGCUUUCGACCCAACCUGAAACUAUAGCAAAUAGAUUAGAUUAUGAUCCUAGCUUAAUAGUGGUAUACUAUUGUGGAAUGAUUGUUAUGUAACAUCCCACCUACUUAACUCUCAUUUCCUAUUACAUUUACCCAAACCACUCAAUUUAUGGUAAGAUAAAACGUUCACUCUAGAUAAUCUGAUUUUGAACCUUGUUUCCAUACUUUUCUAACUUGAUCGCUAUAGUGGAAAUAGUCACCCUCCCGAACAUGGUUGAACUCACUAAUAGGGAUGGCAAAAAAUUCUAUUUAACCCAGUACCCAUGGAGUCUUGCCUUGAAUGGGAUGGGAAUUACCCUCCUUACCAAGUAUAUGGGGCGCAUACGGGGAGAGGGUCAUUGUCCCAAAGUGGGAAUGGGAUGGCUACGAGAAACAUAGUCCCCGUCUAUUUACCGCCCCGUUUAAUGUUAAUUUCAAACUUAAAUUUUUAUAAAAUAAAAAUAAUAGAUUUAUCAUCAUUUUUAAAGAGAAUAUAAGUUGUUUUUAACAAAUUGGUAAAAAAUUAAUAAUAUUUAUUCACUAAAGACAUAAAAAUAAAUAAAUAAAAGCAAAAAAUAAAAUAAAUAAAAAGAAAAAAUAAGUGGGCUAUAAAUGGGGCAGAAGACCUGUUCCGUCCCGUCCAGCUUUAAUUGGAUAUGAGUAUGGAGUAAGAUAACAAAAAUAUUCGAUUGGACGGGAGUGAAAAUGACUGAUCCAUUACAUACCCGCCUCGUUGCAAUCCCUACUCACUAACCCAUUUUGUUUUGAAAAGAAAUAGGUAUUUCUAAUCGAAAGAUCUAAUUAGAUUUCGAGGUGGACACGUUAUCCAUCUACCUCACCAUCCUCCCCUACCUCACAUUCAUGAUUUUUUGAAAUGCAGAAAUGAAAUGGCCGGUGCAUUUACACUAUUAGAAUAGGGUAUACCUUCCAACCGCAAUAUCUGUGCCCCUUUUAGUGGUUCCAAGUUCUGAUUUUUAGGAAUUAGUAACAUUGCUUGCAGUGCUGUAUGUGGCUUUCUUUGCAUCAAUCUCAUAUCUUUAGAUUAACACAAACCAAUUUGUCUCAGCUUUGGGCUUAAAUUUAGUGGCCCAUUAAAAAAUUAAAAUCAUUAGUUUUAGGCUUGAUGUUCUAAUAGUGGUGUAUAUGCUUGCUAGAGUUGGACAAACCAACCCAAACUGAUUAAUCUAGGCUGGUUUUUAAAUUCAAUUGGGUUGGGCUUGCGUUGAAAAUCAACUUGAGGUCAGGUGGAUUGGGUCUCGUGUUAUAAAUUAAAAUCCAGCCCAAUCUGAUGAAUUUAAAAAAAAAAAUGAAUAUCUAAAAUGAAAAUAAUAAUAAUAAUAAUAAUAAUAAUAAUAAUAAUAAUAAUAAUAAUAAACACAAUAUUCAAAAUAAGUGAAUGAUUUGGAAUUUACAAAUGUCCUUCUAUUUUUAUAUAGGCCAAUUGACAGUGGUAUGAAUACUGUGUACAAAUAAAAAAUUAUUUGACGGUAAACUAAAAUUAGGGAUAUAAUGAUGAAAUGAAUGAAUUUAAAAAAAAAAAUUAUAUAAAAAAUGCUCCGUAAUUUCAAACUUAUUUAUAUAUUAUAUUUAAAAAAAAAAUUCCUUAUAUAAACUAAAAAUAACGGAGGUUUUCAAGUGGUUUUAAACUUUAAAAAAUCUUCAAAAUUCAACAAAAGAAUAAUUAGAUCCAACUUGAAUUGGGUUCAAUCCAAAUCGACUAAACCAACCCAAACCGACCUAAGCUUAAUCGGUUUGGGUUGGAUUGUGUUGGGUUUGAUGAUGAUGAUGAUCAUAAUAAUAAUAAUAAUAAUAAUAUUAUUAUUAUUAUUAUUAUUAUUAUGAAGCACUUCACAUGAGCGGGAAAUUAAUAUAAUAUUAAUUUCUUCAACGUCACCUAAUUUAAAACUCAUUAAGAGGAACGAACGGCUAAUUAAUCAAUGAACAUUUAAAUAUAUUAAAUUAUUAUAAUACAUUACACUCUAAUGAAAAUAAUAUAUGUCAGUUAUUUUUAAGUAAUUUUUGUGACAUCUUAGCAUGUUCUUAGUAAGAAAAAUAAUAGAUAGGGAGACACAAAGCCAAGAGUAGUGCCGGUCUCUUGUCUGUAAAUUGUAAUUUAAAGUUUUUAUCUCAGUUAUAUAUGCAACAACAUGUAGUAAGGUUUAAUUUAAUAUGUUUUCUAAACCAAUUAAAAUUUACCAUUCAUGCAUGGGAUUUCCAAUUUGUUCCACCCCUAAUUAAUGCCAUGACCCAUUCAACUUCUUGCUUAACAUGUUUAGCCCCUAUUUGACAUAGAUUAAAAUCUGAGUAUUUAUAGAUAGAGUAAUGAUAUUCUUAGUCGUUCACUGUGAUAGUCGUCAUAUAUGGCAUCUUACAUAAUGCUUUGUGAUUUGAUGGAUUAAUGUGAUAGUUUUUCUUAACUCAUAUAUCAAUCACUAACUGGGCAAUAUAUAUACCAUGUAGGGUGGUUGGAACAUUGAGUGACUACAAAUAGUAUUAUUCUUAUAGAUAUAGGGUGCUUGGGUAUUGCGAUUUGAUCUUUCCCAAUCAUCCUGGUUGGAACUUAUAUGCAUCGCACUUUAAUUUAGAGUUAAUACGCUUGCAUGCAUUUGAAAUAGUUAAGCUAUUUUAUCCCUUCUUUACGCACAACUACAUACAUAGCUGUCGGCUCCAUACUGAUUAGACCUGUCGGAAUUUGAGAACGAUCCAUACCACCAUAGUGGAUCUGAUUUUAAUUCUAAAUUAAAGUCAAUAAUUAAUUUUAACCACAUAUAUAAAAUAACUUUUCAACCAUACAUUUCAUCACAUUUUAACAAAGACUCUACUAAAAAUCUGAUUUUAAUAUAUAUCAAACAGCAGAUAAUCAAUCAUAUGUAAUAUUGAUACGAUAUUAAACAAGUCCGGAUCUACUAUCAUGACUUACUAUUUCAUUGGAACAUGACCUUGUUUUAGCAAAUGGGAAGAAUGCAACAUAUUUUUGACAACUCGAAACAUUAUACGUUAGAGUUUUCACGUCAACUAAAAAGAGGUGUGAUAUGUUGAGGUCUCAAAACUAAAAUAUAUUCAAGGAAAAAUUCGAGACAAUAAAUCUCAACUCACAAUAAAACAAUUUUAAUUUCUUUUUUCUUUAUUAAUAUAGUCCAAUACUAUACAAUCUGUAAUAAGAAACAAGCCAAUGAUUGUACAGUGCAUUUUGCAUUUGGAUUUUCAAAAACUUAGACAUUCCUGUUUGGUAGGAUUAAAAAUUCAAAUUUUAAUUUAAGUCAAAGUUAACGAUUAAUUUUAUUUGUACAUUUUAUAUGAUCUACAACUUUCCAGUCACAAAUUUCAUCAAUUUUUAUUAAAAUCUAAUAAAAAUUUGAUUUUAAUCACCACCAAACAGGACAAACCCAAACAUAAUUUUGCACCACUUCGGGGUACUUUGGAUGAAAAUCUUUCAAAUUAAAGUAUAAUUUUUUCUCACCAUCAACUUAAAGAAUAGGGGUAAAAAUGUCAAUAAAAGACAUUGGAGACUUUGAAUCCAAAAUUUUCUUGGGUUAAUAUGAUGUGAAUCCGGUUAGUAAGGUCGUUAUCGAACCCACAGGAUUUGACACCUGAUCCCAAGAACGCCAAAGAACCAAGGUUUCAGAUUUAAUCCAAGAAUCAUGAACCAAGCAACCAAUCGUAUAUUAAACUUUUGACCUCUUGAUCACACAAUUAUUGAACCUCACCCGGAUUUGUGGAUUUGACCCAAAGAAUUAAUGAAUCAAACAACCCAACGAUAACAGUGAUACGAAGGACCUUUUGAUUGCACACCCCAAAGAAUCUCACCCGAUGAUUUGUUUGAACGCCCCAAAAUAUUAAAUCUUGAUAAGUUCGGUAUUUUGAAGUAAAAGUUACGAGAGGAAAAUCUCCAUUUAAUUCAUAAUAAAAGUCUUGUAUUACAGUGUAGAAAAAUAAACAUAUUUAUACUAAAACCUAGAAUAAAGUUUAAAUAGAAUAAAAUUCUAAAAUACCUAGAAAUCUAUUAAAAUCGGAAAUAGAGUCCUAAAAUAUCAAAAUUAUCAAAAAUAAGAAAUUGGACCAAAAUAAAAUUUCUCCACAUCACAUCAUUAUAUGUACAUGCAAAGUUGAUGAUGAUGAUGAUACAUAUUUAUAUAAAUAUAAAUAUUUUUAGAUGAAAUAAUUAAGAAAAAAAUCCGGCCCAUGAAAAAAAGAGAGGCAGCAAUCGAUCUUAGCCGUCCAUAUCGACGGCCACAAAUGCAAGGGACAGGCAUGGUGGCCAGUAGGCUGAGCCACUGGUGUCAAGGGGUGGCUGCUGCUUAUAUUUAGGCAAGCAUACACAAGAUUAAUUAGCAAUUAAACAGACCAUCAAGGCCAUUCAAGGGGUUGAAUUGUCAUUAAACGGAUCCAUUUUUCAAUAAUUGUAUUGUUUAAUUUAAUAAUAAUAUGAUUAAAUUAUAAUUGUGGAUCACAUGAAAGGAUGCUUCUGAUUCUUUUGUUUUGAAUUGUGUAUCAUUGUUAAUCAGAGAAUCCCAGUUUUAUUUUUGUUUUCUUGUGAAUUGUGUCAUGUUUGAACGUGGAGUGUGUGUAAUUUGGGGAUGGACCACAUCGAAAAAUGUUACAAAAUAACCAAGUUGGUUAAAAGAUAUAUUUAUAAAAUUUAAUGUUGAUGAAUAAGUAGGGUAGUAGAGGCACCAUUUGCAUCUUAAAUUCCCAAUUAAUUUGUGUAAUUGAUAAAAAUAUGUUUUGGUGGCAUUAAUGUGAGAUUAAAAGAGUGUAAAAUUAAAUGCAUCACUUAGUUAUAUUUUUCAUUGAGCCUAUCAGAUAAUGUCACCUAAACUGGAUCGGUGGACAGAUAAAAUUAGUCAACGAAUUUUGGCUACAUGGGAGGGGUCGGCGUGGUAGAGUUAAUGUAACAUAUAAAACCAAAAUUGUAAAAGUUAUAUCCUCUAGUUGAGAUCUGAUGAUGUUGCAAUAUGAUAUUUAAUAGGUCAUUUUAUAUGAGUAGAAUCGUGAUUUUAUUUUAUAAAAUGUAGGGCUAUAGAAUCAAUAUUUGCAGUAGUAGGAGAAACACAUUCGAGUUCUUUAUCAUCAAGAACAUGACUUGAAAAUCCAUCUCAACCACUCAAAAUUUAGUACAACAAAAAAACUUGUCUUGAAAGGUUUCUCGACCAUCAUUUUUCGAGGGAACAACAAAAUAUGACUUUUAAUGUCAAAAAAAAAAAAAAAAAAAAAGGAGGAAAGAGAGGCUUGAGUGGGUUCGUGAUUUUAUUUUAUAAAAUGUAGGGAUAUAGAAAUUAGAAUCAAUAUUUACAGUAGUAGGAGAAACACAUUUGAGUUCUUUAUCAUCAAGAUCUUGACUUCAAAAUCCAUCUCAAUCACCCAAGAUUUAGUAUCACGAAAAAAACUUUUCUUGAAAGAUUUCUCAACCAUCAUUUUUUGAGGAAACAACAAAAUACAACUUUUUACGACAAAAAAUCAAUUUUUUGAGGGAAAAUCACUCCCAAACAGGCUGUAAUUGAUAUAGAAUGAUACAAAUUCUUUCAAAAAUUUGCAAUACUAGAAAUUAGGAAAAUGUGUAUUCAAGCUCUUUUGUCAUCGAGGACCAGGUCCAAAUCUAGAAUAAAUUGGCAUUAAGUUCUAGAUGAGUGUGAAAAUGUUUAUCUUAUAACUUCUCAAUUACAUAUUAGAAAAAAAUAAGAUAUGAAGUCAUGAAUUCUACAAAUUGAUUUAUAAAAGUAAAUAAUUAUUUUAUGUAUUUAGAGGUUGUUUGUACGGGUGAACAUGGUCCGGUUCGGGUCAGUUUUAACGAGAAUCGAACUGAACUCAAAAUUUUGGGUACUUAGUAAGUGGAACUGUUGGAUCCAAAUUUAAUUAUAGAACCGUUCGAGUUCGGUUUGAUUUGAUUUCUAAGUUAUGUACUAUAAUUAAUUUUUUUAAUAUUUACAAAGAUAUAUUAAUUUAACUAAUGACAUUCAAUUUUAGCUCUUAUAAAAUAACGUAGUUCAACCUUAUAUGUCUUUUGCGUCUUUCUUUGCUAUGUUUUUCAUAGAUUUAAUUGUUAAAAUCACAUGAAGAUGAUAAUAGUGAGUUUACAAAAAUUAAGAGAUGGGCUUUCAAGUUUCAAUUCGAUUUCUCCAGAACGGUAGAAACGAUACCACGGUAGAAUAACAGAUUUGGAUAAAACUUAGGUUAAUUUGAUUAAAUUAGACUUGUACUAAAAAUUAGAAAUAGCAAAAUCAUAUUUUUGGAUUUGUGCAAAAUUAACUAGUUAGCAAAUUUAUUUUUAAAAAAAGUAAAAAAUAGUUCGACUUAUUUAAAAUAAAUAAACUAAAAAAAUUAGGGACUUAUUUAAAAUAAAUAAAUUAAAAAAUUAGGGAGAUCAGGUUUUUAUUUGAUUCUUCGAUUCUUAAUCUAAAAUCGAGAAUUGAACCGAACCAAUCGGUACUCUAUUCAGAUACCCGUUCGAGUAUUUAACUUAAAAAGAAUCACUUGGUUCGAAUCCAAAUUGGUUCGAAAGUUUUGUACGGCCCUAGUUAUUUAAUCAAGUUUUUAAUAAAUGUUGAUGAAAUAUGUGUUUGAAAAGUUAAUACAGUUGUGAAUUUGAUGAGAUUUGUGGUCAAGAUUGAAGUUUAACUAAUUUAAAAGUUGAUAAAUUUUUGUCAAACAAACACUUAGACUUAUAUGGGCUCCAUAUUUAUCUAAAAUGUAUUUUUCUCUAUUUUUAACUAUAUAUUUUCUAAUAAAUAAAAUUACAUGUAAAUUCAAAAAUUUUCUUUCUCUAAAAACACAUUUUAAUGAAGUCCAAAGAGGAACUUGAUAAAAUUGGAGUUUGAUUUGUUUUUUAAAUUUUGAAUGGCCAAAUAAAUAAAUAAAACAUAUUUUUUAAUUUACUUUUGAAAUAUGAGAUACUUAAAAUUGUUAUCUACACAUAAUUCUCGUAAGGGAAAUUUCAUAACUACAAUAGUUUAAAAAAUAAUUUUUAAAUUAACAAACUCAAAAUAAUUUUCACAAAUUAGGUGGUUUAUGAAUGUGAUUAGGUGGUAUGUAAAUGAUUGUGACCUAUAAAUUGAAUAAUUGUGACUUAAUAUGAUAUAUGAUUGUGACGUAAUCUAUAUUUGCGGUAUUAAUUACAUUCAAAUGAUCAACUAAUUAUAUAUUUUUUAAAGUUAAUAAUUGAUUAAUAAAUUAAAAUUUAAAAACACGAUUUCAGAUAAUUUACUAUUCUCAUAAUGUCCCAUCAGAGUACAAAGAAGUCGGUGGCUCCCCUCACUACCUUAUCCCGUUAGCCCCCCCCCCCCCCCNNNNNNNNNNNNNNNNNNNNNNNNNNNNNNNNNNNNNNNNNNNNNNNNNNNNUUUAAAAAAUAAAAAUAAAAGAAGUACUUUUCAUACGUACUACCAAUUAUAAAACAAGGGUUUAGUGUGUAAAAAACUCAAAAUCUUUUUAUUUAAAUUUGGGUGUCAAUUAUUGAUAUUGAGUAUGACUGAAGUGAUAAGAAUUGGAUUAAGAAGUUACGAUCGAUCAUUUCAUGGUUAUUGAGGAUGAAUGCAAUUUUACUUCGAAACUUUGAAGUCACGUGGAUUCUUCAAAUUUUAUAUCCUUCUAAGUUGUCUCACUUUGUCGCGUAUGCCUUACUCGUGGUUGUUCUCGAACAUUUUAGUUCUACUUUAGUCCUCUUUAAUCGAUGUUCACUCAUUUUCUUCAUCUACCACCUAACAUUGAUUUUUUU